rnacentral:lncRNA from 1 species
GCUCCUAAUAGUGCUCUCACUCUCCCAAUUAAGUUCAUUAUUCCAUCAAAGCAGAGGAAGGAGGAUGGAGCCAAUUGCCAACUCUCACAGAUUAAAAUUGAUAAAGACAUAUGAGCACAGACAACCCAAUGGUCCAAUGGGCAGCUCUAUCAUUUUACUUCAAACUCUUAUUGCAAUAUCCCCAUCAAUCAAAUAAUGCUAAAUGACAACAAAGUCUACUCAUAUUUAUCAAUUUUAUAUAUAUGGUCUUGGUCAAUCACACUGUGAUUUCCACUUCCACCUUCCCUCACUGGCUGCACCACCAAAAUAUCUGGGUAUCUGCCAUUUUAGUCUCUGUUACUGGAAAAAGAAUUACCCCACCUAUUGGAGCCCAGACAAAAGCCAGAUUAGCUAUCUUCAAGCAUCUAGCUGCCAAGUUCACAGAGAGAUUAUCAAACAAGGGAAUUCCUUGGUGCUAUAAUGAAAUCUACAGAUUUAUAUGAGACUAUAAUGUGAAUAAGUGGGAUUUCUUAAAGUUAGAAGACAAUAUCUUGUGUUCAGAAUUCAAAGCACAGAACAACUAUUUGCUAUUGCCACCAGCAAUAUAAACCUUUGUUCAUCAACUUUCACAAACCGUAACCUUCUUAAUUGAAUCAAAGGCUAAUCGCUCUUAUGGAAUUCACUAUCAAAUUCUAUGAGAUCAUUACAUAAUUGCAGUGGUGCAUCUUCACUGGCACAAAUAUAAAAUUAAUCUUCUGAAAUUUUAGUUGAUCCAUACAUAUAUAUGAGUAAAAAGAAGCAUUAUUUUAAGUACAUUGGUUGCGCCCAACAAUUACCUACGGGUUACUGUUUCAGGUUCUAUACUCGAUUCCGGAAGCAGUAAACAGUGUCAUGGGUCUAUGCACAGGGAAGUCUCCCUUGCCUCUGUUUCUGUCUUCAUGUGCUGAACCUAUGGUGAAUGCAAUAGUGCUCGUUGGAGGGAGCUCCCAAUACCUCCAGAGAGAGUCUUAAUCUCAGGUUGUUUGUGGUUAAUUGGUUGUUUUAUUCCUUGAAUCCAUCUCUAUAAAUAAGAUAUUUUUACAAGCAGUGACACAGUUCUAAAACAAAUUAUUUUCCUACUAGAUAAAAUGAAAUAAACAAAUAAAGAUAAUUCUGAUCCUAAAAGAAGUGAUAAGAUCAUGAAAAAAUAGUUCUUAUCCUAACAGAACAGAUAAGAGAAUGAAAAUAGUUCUUAUCCUAAAAGAGAUAAGUUAAUGAAGAUGAGAUGCGGAUAAACAACCAGCUUCUUAAUCCUGCUUUCCAAGAGUCCUACGCCGCUGGUAAAUUUUAUUUGGGUAUUAGCAGAAGACUCCAAAAAGAAAAGAAAGUGCACAAUAAUUUUGAGAUAAAAAAAAAAAAAAGACAAAAAUUAUGGGCCGAGGGAGUACCCUUUAGUUGGACAUUUUGGCUAUCAUAUACUUAUAUCAAGCAAGCUUGAAUAAGCAAAUAACUUUCCUCAUAGUGAGAAAUUACCUGUUCUUCAUCCUCAAAGAUGGCCGGAGUUUCCAUUCUUCCUGCUGAAGUUUUGCUAUCAAAACGUGUCCAAGAGAUGGU